UGGGCUCAGCCUGGGAUACUGGCAGCAACAGCAACAGGAGGCUGGUUCUCCCUUCCUGCCCGCUCCCCUAGGGUGUUUCCUGCCAGCCCAGAAGCAGGCCCAGGGAAGGCAAACCUGCCUGAUCCCAGGCACUGCCACUGUCCUGAACUAAGCCCAGUCCCUGCACAGCCUGACCAGAGAAAGACACAAGCUCUCUUCAUUCCUGGGACAGCAGGGACACUGGCACGAGCAGUUUUAACAGCUCCGGGGACCUGGGAACCGAACAGAACCCACGGAGCUUCAACAACUCCGUGAGGAAAGAAUUGCCGAACCCGCGGAGCCUAAACAACUCUGGGGCCAAAGAACCGAAUUUGUCGGAGUCCUCCAACGAGGAUUUAAGCGGAGCUGCACCUGGAAAACUGUCCAGCCUACACCGCGACCAUCUUGGGUAUAUCAACAAAGGAUGCAUAUUUGAAAGACAAAAUGAAAGUGGGAGCCUUCCCGCCCGUCUCUUAUUGAUUAUUAAACGAAGCCAGAAUCAGAACACGUGUUGCAAAAAGUGCAUUAGAUGCUUUAAAGGGCUGGAAUUUCUCCUUCAAAAAUAUGAUGCCUUGAGGAUAUUUGUGCUUCAGCCACAAUUGCAGGAGGAGGAGAGUGAAAUAAAACAUCAACCCAGCACUUCAUUAUUUUCACAGUCACUCUUCCUAUGCAUUCCCAGUGCAUCACCAAGAAUAAUGUCACCGGAAAGAGAAAGCGCAGGAUGAAGAAAUUCUGACCCAAGCCCAAAGAAUGCUGAAAUGCCAUAAGGAAACUGCCGUAGGAAAAUGCAUACAGGUGUCUCUCUCUUUUGUCUGUACAUUUCCUGCAAUGUCUAAAAUAAAAAGUAAUUGGGUCUCAAA